UCUAAACUUGGAAACGAGGCGAGAAGCGAGCGCCAUGAUCGCCGAGCGAACCCAGUCCCCAAGCUGUCGACGAUGGUCGGCCACACGCGGCGGCAAGGGUUUCGGCGUCGGUGAGGCGGAGGCGAGGGGUGGCGAAGGCGACGGUGAGGCGGAGGCGCGUCGAUCGGAGGGCGGCAGCGGACUCCACGAGAAGGCGCACUCGUCGGAGAAGAAGGCGGAGCCGACGAGGUAUGUGCUUCAAGUUUAGCCUUCAGUGCUUGAGUUGUGAUCAACUGUCGUGUUUUUGGGGCUAAAGUCUAAACCCUAAAGCGUUUGUGUUUUUGGGUUUUGAACUUGUUUCGGGUUGAACAAUGUUCGAACACGACCCGAACACGAAACACAUUUUAUUUGCUUGUUUUAUAUUUGUUACCCGAACACGACCCGAACACGAAACACGUUAAUACAUGUUUUGUGUUCGGGUCGUGUUCAGGUCGGGUCGGGUCGGGUCUUUUUGACACCCCUAACCAACUCCAAUCCUUUUGCCCAUUAACUUCUUAGAAGAUUUCACAAAACCUUUAUCACUUAGUUUUCAACUUUUCGGAGAUAUAUUAACCAAUGAAUUAAUAGUUGUUGUUCUCGUUUUUUUUAGUACCUUUAAUGGUUCAUGUACUUGUGAUGUUCCUUGGAUUAUUUGUGAGUAUUCAAGCUCUUGUUUUUUCAAAUUUAGCCUCAACUUAUAUAGGUGAAUCGAUGGAGGGUCACCAUUAACUCGUUAUCAAAAUAGUCAUUUUUUAGUUUAGCUCAAGGUAAUGUAUGUGUAACUCAAGAUAAUCUACUUAGGCAAGAUAAAAAUAAACAAGUAAGGUAUAUACGAUCUAAGGAAUAGAAAAAAAGAUUAUGAUAUUUUGAUGUAGGGAAUUAUUAAAAAAAAAAAAAGAUUUAAAAGAUCAUUUUCCCAAAAUUCUUGCUUGGCCCAUUUAAUUUAUAUAAUACUUACCCCCAAUAAAUAUUUUCUAUUACUAUUUUAUUUAAUAAGGAUAAUAAUAAUAAUAAUAAUAAUAGUAAUAAUAAUAAUAAUAAUAAUAAUAAUAAUAAUAAUAAUAAUAAUAAUAAUAAUAAUAAUAAGUAUAUAUAAAUUCUAUAUAGAAAAAAAUAAAAUAAUUAUAUAUAUAUAGAAAUAUAAAAAAUGGCAUGAACUUUUUCUUUUACUUUUACAUUAAUGAAAUACCAAUAUUUCUACCUAUGUUGUUUAGUUAUUUGAUCUAAUGAAUCCGUCCACGUAGAUCGUAUACAUGCAGAAUAAUGAUAAAUAAAAGGAAGAGUAGAAUUGACGCGAUUCAGAAAAAUGAAUUAGUUAAUAUGGAUGGGUACAAAUCGGGUAUAUAUAAUGGAAUGGCUAGAAUCCAACUCUUGGAUGUUUUUGUUUCAAAAAUCAAAAAAUAAUUCUAAAACUGAUUUAAUUAAAUAUACAAAUUGUUGGUUUACAAUAUGGAAGAAACCCAUAUGUAUGUGAUAUUAGAUAUUGCUCUUAUAUAUGAACUAAAAUGAGAUCUGAUCUAAUCUGCUCCACACUACUAUGAAUUAUGAAUUUUGAUAGGGAUUGUAAUAAAAGUCUAUCCCUUUCGUUUGUGACCAUGAAUUGAAUGACUAAAAAGAUGAAAUCGAGAAAAAGAAUGAAGAAUUCAACUAGUAGUUUGGAACAAAGAAAUGGAAGAACAUAAGUUACAUGGACUCGCAAAAAUCUCAUCGAUAAGAACUAAGAAAGAAAUAUAAAAGCAGUUUAGAUGAUUCGAUAAUAUUAUUUCAUUACUUUAAUUUGGAGUUGUUAGUUACUUCGUCCGAAUGAAUCUUAGUGACGGAAUAAUUAAGUUAAAAUUCAUUGGAAGAUUGCAUCAUUAACCAUUUCUUUUUGUAGGAAACUUACCGCGAAUGCACUGAUUUCUACCACUUACGUUAUUGCUACCAGG
rnacentral:lncRNA from 1 species